UUACAUGUUUAUCUUUCGAAAGUAAAUCGCUAUAAUUUAAUAAUUGUUUCUCUUCAUAUUGGCAUAUUGUAGCAGUGAUGAUAGUGAUAUGGAAUUAUUUCAAAUGAUAAUGGAUUGUGAUGCAGAUAGUGAUAGUGAGGCCGAUAUCAUAUGGUUAGGAAAAUAAAGAUCGUCUGAAUUACAUGGCGAAGAUCAAUAAUUACGAAUUUGACUAUAGAUUUCUGAGCAAAGGUGUUGUGAAUGAAUUGAUUAAUUUAAUGAGACCAUAUUUGAGUGUAACGUCAAAAAGAUUCAAAUAUAGGAGAGGAAUUUAGAAAUAGAAAAAGAGUAUUUUGAAUGUGCAAUUUGUGUGCAAUGCAUCAUUGAUGUUUCAAAAUGUUGUUGCUUGAUGGCCUGGGUCUACUCAUGAUACAACUAUAAUUAACCAUUCCGAUUGAAAAGGUAUUUCUUAUUUAUAUUAUUAUUAUUAUAUAUUAUUAUUAUAUUUUUAUUUAUUUAUAUUAUAUAUUUAGGUGUUUAUAUGAAUUUAAUAUGACACUAUUAUAAUAAAUUAUCUACAUAUCAAGAGAACAUUGAUAACAAGGUGGACUUGGAAAUUGCUAUUUGCUUGCCGAUAGAGGCUAUCCCCACAACCCUAUCUUUUAACGUGAUUAAUUAACCCACAUACUCAAUCGGAACGAUUUAAAAUGAAUCACAUAUUAAAACAAGAAAUACUAUAGAGAGGUAAUCUUUUUUUUUAGUUAAGAGCUUGUUAUACUGUAUUGUAAAAUAAUUUAAGCGAAUAAUGUAUAAUUUUCAGAUGCAUUGGUGUUUGUAAAAGAAGACUCCCUGUAUAUCAUUGAAAAGUAGAUUAAAACUAGAAAAUAUGCAACCUGUUAUUAUAGCUGCCAUGCUGCAUAAUAUCGUCAGAAGUAUGAAUUUAGAAGAAUUAGAAUCAGAAAUUUCAGUCGCAGAUACAUUACAGGAAAAUAAUAUAAUUGUUCGUAACAAUUUUUCAAAACUUACAUCUGAAAUACAACUAUGUACUUAUAAAUAAUUGCUUCCAAAGAUAAUUUAUAAAAUAAACUCCAAAGAUAA